CUUACACUGAAGCAAAACACGCAGCAUAAAACAUGUAAUACAUUGUGUGGUUACUGGAGAAAGGAAAAAGGAGAAGGCAGACAAAAGAGAAGAAGAACUACGUAUCCCAGAGGACCUCGUGGUCAGAGAAGGAAGAUACAUCAUGGAAGAUACGUCAUCUGGUUGCACAUGGUCUCUCACUUUCGCUUGCUGCUAGGGAGAGGAGUGGGUGUGCUUUCCAAGCCGUGUGCCUUCAUCAGUCCUGAGUGAACUUUGGUAAGACUGGCAAUCCAAGGCUUGUGUGCCAGCAGCUUUGAUGGUGGAAAGGAUGCUUCUGAGUUAAGUAUAGUGGUCCCUGGUAAAGGUGUCUUUUCACUCUCCCUUUCAUGGUGUUUGUUGCUGUUGUUGUAGUUUGUUUGUUUUGGUUUCUUUUCCCCCUCAUUUUUAUUUGCAGGACAGUAAUGUUUUGAACCAAGGAAAAUCCACAUGGAAGUCUUUAUGUCAGACAAGAAUGCAGGUAUUACUGUUCAGAUAGGGUAGUUUCACUCAGUUCUUUGCUAAAGAUUGCUGUUGGUGAUGGAUGCUACAACAAUGAUGCUGAGGCUCCUCAUCCCAUCAGGACUGUUUGCCCAUCUCUCCCUGGUUCCCCUUCUUUUAAAUAAUCAGAAGCUUUCUGAUGAUUUUCCUCUCUGUAAGUAGGAGGAGCAGUGGCCAGGAAGAUGAGAUGCUAAGAUUUUCUGAUUUGUGAAAUGAAAUCAGAUGAUGUAUGGAAUCAAAAGGAAAAUUUGUACCAGUACUUGAAGAUGAAAAAUGGCUCACAGAUUUAGCAUUUUUGGAUAACUCUCUGAAGAACAACAACCUGAAGAGAUGAAACCAACUGUUGACUGCUGAAACAUUCCUUAGGACUAGCAGCCAAUGAACUUGAAAAAAUAGAGAAACAAAAUGGCUUAACACCUUAAUGUCAAGAGAGACUUCUAAUGAUGGAAAUGUUCUAGGCUGGAUCACUAAGAUAAGUAUUAAUAACAAUCUCCUGUUAUUUUUGUCUUCUAUACGUAGCGCAGAAGAAUAAGUGACUCCUUCCAGUCCUGUGGGUAUUGUUAAUGACAAGCUGCUUGGCUUUGUUUUUCUACCUUUCCUUAUUUAUUUCACUUACUAUCAUAUCUAGGCAGUUUCAGAGAGUUUUAUCAUUUCUUGUCAAAUCUAUCUUGAUCACUUAUCAUUCAAAUGGAUGUUUAAUAUCAAGCUUCAAUGCUCACAGACCUUUUCAGGACUCAGAAGCAGGUAUUUUACAUCCUGAAUAUAUAGUUAUAUGUAAAACGCUCUGAGUUAACUGUCUCGUGGCCUUUAUAUUCUCUUGAAUCAUCUUCUGAUUUCUAUUGACAAAAUGAAAAUACUUAGUUAAGGUUGUAGGCAAAAAAAUAAGUGCAGAAGGUAUAUAGUGUAUGCAAUACAUAGCCAUUACACUGAGUCCUAAAUAAGCCUAGAGGAAGACUGAACAGUAGUGCUGCAAGGAGUCAACAAUCUCAUUUAUCUUUGUGAGCUCCCAACUCCCACAUAGUCAGUACCAGGCACUUGAGUAAACAAUGCAAACAAACUCACUGAAUAAAGAUGGGAAAACUGAAAACCUGCACUAAUUCCUAAAAAGUAAAUACUUCAUACCCUGUCACAGAAGGGUUAUGAAAAAAUAGUAUGGAGAAGAAGAAAUGGUUUAAAAAGCCUAAAAAGCAGAAAUUGAGCCAUUCUUAUUAUAUGCACAGUCUAUUCUGAGCAAAACAUUUUUGUCAGAUCACAGUGCUGUAUCUUUUUUUUAUGUGCAGUUUGGAAAAACAGAGCAGUCUCUGCUUCACUAUGCUGAUUGUUUUGUCUCAUGCACGACCAUGUCUCUAAAUUUGCCACCCACAGCCCUGACAGCCUCUCUACCCUCCAUCACCCUCAUUUAAAAAAAUAAAAUCUCUGUUAGAUUACAUCUCUAGGGCAGGCACAAAAGCAACUGUGUAGAGAUCCCUGAUUUGAUCUAUAGAAGCUAUCUUGUACACUAGUGGGAUUCUAGUCUUGAGAGCAGAACACAAAUUCAUGUACCCUGCAGCUUGGCUUGGUUUUGCAGCCUAUGCAGCACUUUGUGCUGCCACAGCCAAAUUGGUACUGAUACUUUAAGUAAGUGUCGCAAUAUAUCUAAGUCAGUUUUAUGCUAACUGCAGUCACUGCUACAACCUCAGCAUUGGUGCUCCCUCCUUUACAGCCUGCGUAUUCAGCCACCACUCCAUAUAUUUGUUCUUCUGCUAGGCUAUUUGCUCUUCUUUCACAUACAAAAUAAAUUGUAUAUAUUCUUUUAUAUUCACAAGUAAUUUUUUACUUUCUGGCUUCCCUAUUUCUGUAUCAUCUCAUAUGUGUUACAGAACAUUGCUGGCUAGCCCCAUAUUGCUGUAAAGGCAUAGAGAGUCUCUAUUUCCAUUAUCACAUUUAAAUACUUCAGAAGAAACCAUGCAUUAUGUAUUCUGAAUACUUACUAAAACAUCUUGAUCCUUAAAAAGAGUUUGGUGUCUUUCACUAUCUUUUUCCCUACUUUACACUGGGGCCGAUAACUUUUGGAAUUACAUGAAACCUAGAGAACUGGGAAAAUGAGCCGGAGAGAAAAAUGUAUUUAAUUUUCAGAUAACAAAGCAGUCAGGAAAAGGACUGAAUAAGUCAAGAUAGUAGAAGCAUGGAAAGGUUGCCUUGCCCUCUCUAAACGCUUGGAGAAAUUGUUUCAUAAAGAAAUGGAAGAAAAAAUACAUUUUGUUAUGUUUAUUGUAUUUCUGUGCAGAGGAAGGGGUGAAACUGCAAAGAAAGGAGGCAGCAUCAUUCAUCGCAAGUAUUUAGUAACUGUUGUAGUAGGUGUCUUGCGGGGCUACGGGAUGUACGGGACAGGCCUCUCCCUAAGCAUAGAGAGACAGUGUUAUCGUGCUGACCUUGAUGCAGAGAAAACAGGAGAAGAAGAAGGAUGAGAAAAGAAUGUGGAAACGGCCAAAUAAGGCACAAUGUUAUCUGGUGUGAACCAAUCAGAGUGGGACAUGACAGCACGGUUUUGUAGGUAAAAUGUAUAUAAGCUGUGUUUAGUAGUGAAUAAACGCCAUUUUGCUGCUCAUCAUAUUGGUGUGUGUCUGCAGUCAUUUGGCCCUGAUCAGGCUAUUGAUCAGUGCGUGCAGAGGCCUAACACAGAAUGAGUUCACUGUGACAUUCAAAUGCAGCCAAAAUCCAAGAGGCAAGAAAGUAGUACCGCUUGAUAGACUUAAGACUGAAGUAACAUCAUAUUUGAAAAGUCAUGGAUGUUAGGCCAAGUCUUCUGUGACUGAAAAAAGAGAAACAUCACUGUCAUUUUAAAAAACGGAAAAAAGAAGACAGGGGAACUACAGGCUGGUGAGCCUCGCCUCUUUACCUGGGUAGAUUAUGGAGCAGAUCCUCCUACAAAUUAUGUUAGGACACAUGCAAGACAAGAAGGUGACCCAACACAGCCAGGAUGAUUUCACCAAGGGCAGAUCAUGUCCUUGUGUGGGCACAAAAAAAAAAACAAACAAACAACCAAAAAAGCAAUGGUGGUCUUUUAUGAUGGAGUGAAAGCAUUGGCUAGCAAAGGAAAUGAAACUGAUGUUGUCAACCUGGAUUUGUACAAGGACUUUGAUGUGGUCCCACACAUCAACUUUAUCUCUAAACUGGGGAGAGAUGGAUUUGAAGGGCGGACUAUCAGGUGGAUAAAGAAUUGGUUGGAUGGUAGCAAUGAGACAGCUGUUAUCAAUGGUUCUUUGUCAAGAUGAAGACUGAUCAUGAGUGGUAUCCCACAGAGGUCAGUCUUGGGAUUGGUGCCCUUCAACAUUUUUCUCAAUGACAUAGACUGUGGGAUCAAGUGUAUCCUCAACAAGUUUGCUGAUGACACUACGCUGAAUAUUGCAGUAAAUACAAUAGAAGGAAGGGAUGCCAUCCAGAGGGACCUGGACAGGAUCAAAAAUUGACCCACAUGAACAUAAUGAAGUUCAACAAUGCCAAGUGCAAGAUGUUACAAUUGGGUCAGGGCAAUCCCAGAUAUGUGUACAGAAUUGGAGAAGAACUCACUGAGAGCAGCCCUGUGGAGAAGAAUUUGGGGAUCCUGCAGGAUGAAAAGUUGGAUGUGAACCAGAAGCAUGUGCUUGCAGCCCAAAAGUCCAACAGUGUCCUGAGCUGCAUCAAAAGAAGGGUGGCCAACAGGAAGAGGGAAGGCAUUGUCCCCCUCUGCUCUGCCCUUGUGAAGCCCCAGAUGGAGUGCUGUGUCCAGGCCUGGGAACUUGAUGUGCAGCUGUUGGAGGAGGUCCAGAGGAGGGCCAUGAAGAUGAUCAGAGGGCUGGAGCACCUUGCCUAUGAAGAAGGGUUGAGGGAGCUGGACUUGUUUAGCAUGGAGAAUGCUCCAUGAAGACCUCUUUGCAGCCAUCCAGUAGUUAAAGGAGGCUCAUAAACAGGAGGGAGACUGACUUUUUACAUAGUCUGACAGUGAUAGGACAAGGGAGAAUAGCUUUAAACAAAAAAAGAAAAAAGAAAAGGGGGGGGAGAUUAAGGUUAGAUAUUAGAUGGAAUUUCUUUACUCAGAGGUUGGUGUUGCACUGAAUCAGGUUUCCCACAGAAAUCAUGGAUGCCCCAUCCCUGGAGGCAUUCAAGGCCACGUUAGAUGGGGCCCUGGGCAACAUGAUCUAGUGGGUUACAACCCACCCCAUGGCAGGAGGUUUGUAACUAGAUGAUCUUCAAGGUCCCUUUCAACCUAAGCCAUUCUAUGAUUCAUGUGAAAUAGAAUGGUGGGGGAAUAAAUGAAACAAAUAUAGGAGAUGAAUCUCCCAAACUUCAGUUUAAUAUCUGUGUUUCUUUUCUGCUGCUUCUAUGUUGCUUAAUGAACUUUAUUUUGAACUUUAUUUUUGAACUUUAUUUGAGGCUGUAUUUGUAUUUGAACUUUAAGAGGCUGUCUUGUACAACUAGUAUGAAAUGAAAAUUGUACCUGAACCAACUCUCUG
ensembl:lncRNA